GGUUAAGUGACUAAGCGUACACGGUGGAUGCCUUGGCAGUCAGAGGCGAUGAAAGACGUAGUAACUUGCGAUAAGCCCAGAUUAGGUAGUAACAACCAUUUGAGUCUGGGAUUUCUGAAUGGGGAAACCCACGUGCAUAAGCACGUAUCCUUACCUGAAUACAUAGGGUAAGGAGGCGAACCGGGGGAACUGAAACAUCUAAGUACCCCGAGGAAAAGAAAUCAACCGAGAUUCCGAAAGUAGCGGCGAGCGAAAUUGGACUAGCCCUUAAGCUUUACACGCGUUAGACGAACGGUCUGGAAAGUCCGACGAUACAGGGUGAUAGUCCCGUAGUUGACGACGUGUGUUCAGUGAAAUCGAGUAGGGCGGGACACGUGAUAUCCUGUCUGAAUAUGGGGGGACCAUCCUCCAAGGCUAAAUACUACUGACUGACCGAUAGUGAACCAGUACCGUGAGGGAAAGGCGAAAAGAACCCCUGUGAGGGGAGUGAAAUAGAACCUGAAACCGUGUACGUACAAGCAGUAGGAGCAGGCUUUGUCCUGUGACUGCGUACCUUUUGUAUAAUGGGUCAGCGACUUAUAUUCAGUGGCAAGGUUAACCAUCUAGGGGAGCCGUAGGGAAACCGAGUCUUAACUGGGCGUUCAGUCUCUGGAUAUAGACCCGAAACCAGGUGAUCUAGCCAUGGGCAGGUUGAAGGUUGAGUAACAUCAACUGGAGGACCGAACCGACUAAUGUUGAAAAAUUAGCGGAUGACUUGUGGCUAGGGGUGAAAGGCCAAUCAAACCUGGAGAUAGCUGGUUCUCCCCGAAAGCUAUUUAGGUAGCGCCUCGGACGAAUACUACUGGGGGUAGAGCACUGUUAAGGCUAGGGGGUCAUCCCGACUUACCAACCCUUUGCAAACUCCGAAUACCAGUAAGUACUAUCCGGGAGACACACGGCGGGUGCUAACGUCCGUCGUGGAGAGGGAAACAACCCAGACCGCCAGCUAAGGUCCCAAAUUACUACUAAGUGGGAAACGAUGUGGGAAGGCUCAGACAGCCAGGAUGUUGGCUUAGAAGCAGCCAUCAUUUAAAGAAAGCGUAAUAGCUCACUGGUCGAGUCGGCCUGCGCGGAAGAUGUAACGGGGCUAAGUAGUAAACCGAAGCUGCGGCAAUACUCUUUGAGUAUUGGGUAGGGGAGCGUUCUGUAAGCGGUUGAAGGUGUGUGGUAACGCAUGCUGGACGUAUCAGAAGUGCGAAUGCUGACAUGAGUAACGAUAAAGGGGGUGAAAAACCUCCUCGCCGGAAGACCAAGGGUUCCUGUCCAACGUUAAUCGGGGCAGGGUAAGUCGACCCCUAAGGCGAGGCCGAAAGGCGUAGUCGAUGGGAAACGGGUUAAUAUUCCCGUACUUCUUACAAUUGCGAUGGGGGGACGGAGAAGGCUAGGUGGGCCUGGCGACGGUUGUCCAGGUUCAAGUGCGUAGGCUUAAGAGUUAGGUAAAUCCGGCUCUUUUUAAGGCUGAGACACGACGUCGAGCACCUACGGGUGUGAAGUCAUUGAUGCCAUGCUUCCAGGAAAAGCCUCUAAGCUUCAGAUUGUAAGGAAUCGUACCCCAAACCGACACAGGUGGUCGGGUAGAGAAUACCAAGGCGCUUGAGAGAACUCGGGUGAAGGAACUAGGCAAAAUGGUACCGUAACUUCGGGAGAAGGUACGCUCUCGACGGUGAAGUCCCUCGCGGAUGGAGCUAU
rnacentral:rRNA from 1 species